CGGGGGGGGCAAGCGUUGUUCGGAAUUACUGGGCGUAAAGGGCUCGUAGGUGGCCAACUAAGUCGGACGUGAAAUCCCUCGGGCUUAACCGGGGAACUGCGUCCGAUACUGGUUGGCUUGAGUUUGGGAGAGGGAUGCGGAAUUCCAGGUGUAGCGGUGAAAUGCGUAGAUAUCUGGAGGAACACCGGUGGCGAAGGCGGCAUCCUGGACCAAUACUGACGCUGAGGAGCGAAAGCCAGGGGAGCAAACGGGAUUAGAUACCCCGGUAGUCCUGGCCCUAAACGAUGAAUGCUUGGUGUGGCGGGUAUCGAUCCCUGCCGUGCCGAAGCUAACGCAUUAAGCAUUCCGCCUGGGGAGUACGGUCGCAAGGCUG
rnacentral:rRNA from 1 species